rnacentral:rRNA from 1 species
UGGGGAAUCUUGCGCAAUGGGCGAAAGCCUGACGCAGCGACGCCGCGUGAGGGAGGAAGGCCUUCGGGUUGUAAACCUCUUUCAGGAGGGACGAAGCUACUCGGGUGAACAGCCCAGAGGGUGACGGUACCUCCAGAAGAAGCCCCGGCUAACUACGUGCCAGCAGCCGCGGUAAUACGUAGGGGGCAAGCGUUGUCCGGAUUUACUGGGCGUAAAGCGCGUGUAGGCGGCCACGCAGGUCCGUUGUGAAAACUGGAGGCUCAACUUCCAGACGUCGACGGAAACCGUGUGGCUAGAGUCCGGAAGAGGAGAGUGGAAUUCCUGGUGUAGCGGUGAAAUGCGCAGAUAUCAGGAAGAACACCAAUGGCGAAGGCAGCUCUCUGGGACGGUACUGACGCUGAGACGCGAAAGCGUGGGGAGCGAACAGG